rnacentral:rRNA from 1 species
AUUGAACGCUGGCGGCAGGCCUAACACAUGCAAGUCGAGCGAGCGGCGGACGGGCGAGUAAUGUAUGGGGACUGCCCGAUAGAGGGGGAUAACUACUGGAAACGGUGGCUAAUACCGCAUCCUAUCGGAUAACCCAUAUGGGAUUAGCUAGUAGGUGGGGUAAAGGCUCACCUAGGCGACGAUCUCUAGCUGGUCUGAGAGGAUGAUCAGCCAAACUGGGACUGAGACACUGCCCAGAGUCCUACGGAGGCAGCAGUGGGGAAUAUUGACAAAGGGGCGCAAGCCUGAUGAAGCCAUGCCGCGUGUAUGAAGAAAGCCUUAGGGUUGUAAAGUACUUUGAGCGGGGAGGUGUUACCCGCAAAAGAAGCACCGGCUGACUCCGUGCCAGCCGCCGCGGUAAUAC